rnacentral:lncRNA from 1 species
ACAUUAGUUCAAAAAAAGAAAAAGAAAACCACUACUGGAGUGGUAAAAGAAGAAAAAAUUUUACUGAGCAAAUCCCCAAUUGCAUCAUCUUUGGUUUCAGUGAAUAACUGUGAGUCCCAAACUGGCAGCCUUUUUACUUAGAAAUGAGGUUUGGCAAAUCCAGAGAACUGGCUUUCCACCAAGAUGGAGGGGACCGAAUUCUGCUCCCGUAUUCACUUUUGAGGCGUUUCCAAGGAGUGAAGCUUCUAUUUAGCCUGUCUCCCACCAUCUGAAGCCCCUUAGGAAGGAGUCAGCUUUGGGUGACUGCUCCCUCUUGUCCCACCUGGAGCCUGACGCUGCUGAGACCCAAGGGGCAGAGCCCGGGUGCAGACCUACCCGCCAGCCCCAAUCAGGUCUCCCUCUUGUUGACACCAGGACUUGUUUCAGAAGAUGGCCCCAUGGCCCCUCCACCCAGCCUAGUGAAGAGCUGUUCAGAUCCCACUUGCCCUGGAACAGAAGCGGCUCUUCCUGACUCAGCCAAGGGUCUGACACCGCGGGGCUUGGUGCACAGCUCACCACCCUGGCCUGGCUGACCUUAGCAAGUUCUCAUGGACAGAUGGAGAUGGCUGUUGAUCAGGGCUUCCAGACUGCGGGACCAGCAGAGAUCAUGUCCAGCUGGGAGAAAUUAAGCCAAACUAUCGGCAUUGCCCCAACCCGAAGCUUAGGACCUGUUCUGAAAUGAAGAGACUUGUAGGCGAGCAAAUCACACACUUUCCAAAAGGCACAGACUCUGAAGGGCACCUCAUUGUAGCUGAGCUGGGUCCAACCAUCAGACCGAGGGGUGCUUCUUGUUACUGAUGUUUUAUCGACAUGAGGUGGAAUCUAAUUUGUCCCUGCUCAUCCAGCUAUGUAAAUGUUCUCUGAUGUCUGAGGACGAGGUAGCCUGGAUCCACUGCCAUAAUCAUCUACUCAACAUUUUCAAGGAGAGAGGCCAAGGCUGCAAAGGCAGUUUAUUACAUACAUUGGCCUCUGCACUUAUUUGGGUGAAAUCAUUUUCUAAUGUAUGAGUCUUUGCCUUAGAACCUGAAAUUGUGGUAAGUUGUUCACUUGAUUUUGUAAUUUUCCGGAGUGGGUCGCAUGCCCACUGGAGCCUGGGAUGGUCAGGUCCACCCAUCAAAUUAAUUGAAUCCAGAAUGGGAAAAAAUGGAGCAUCACUGAAGGGGAUGCUGGCCAGACAGGGUCAGCAGGGGACCCUCUGAAGCUGGCAGGAUGUGGCCCGGUGCUUUUGACCUCAUGCUCCGCAACCUCCCAGGCAGAUGCCAUUGAGGACUCAUUGAGAACUGACUCUGGACCAGGACCUAUGCUAAGCACUGCUGAGGAUGCACAGUAAGCAAGAUGUGGUCCUGAUGCUUACAGAUCUGGGUUUCUUGCAUGGCUCAUACUCACAUUCCUAUCAUGGGCCACAAGCCGGGAGUGAAAUGGCACCUUUCUUCUCGCUGGAACCACCUCAUUUCCUCUUUCCAGCAAAGAGGGAUGGAGAAACCUGCCCCAUAUGGAGAAGGCAUCAUAUACCCACUGAGAUAACAAAUGUCCUGUGACCUGUGGAGAAGGGCAGUUUCAAGGACACAACAGCCUCUGAUCCUGGUGAGUGGGCCGGGGCUGAGGGUGGCGGCACAGAGAAUAGCCGGGCUCAUCCAGUGUCCUGGUCUCUGUGUCCAGGGCUGCCCCCACCCCAGUCAGCCAGGGACCAGCCAUGGCCAUGGGCAGGGCCACAGCGGGGGUUCCCCUGACUGUCGGUUUUCAGUUCCACCUUAUGUCAAGCAUAUUUGAUUGUUUAAAAAUCUUUUUUUUUUCUUCCAAUGAACUUGCUCAUGCUCUUUGAACUUCAAGAUGGAAAAAUCAAAGUCUGAAUGGGUGAGUUUCCCAGGAAUUCCUGACCUGCUUUUGUGGAAACUGGUUCUUGCUGGAAGGACAAACUCCUUCCAGGGUCUCCACACACAGGUGCUGGCACAAGCAUCCAGAGGCUGGGUACCUGGGGCCCCCCCCAAAAGUCAGUGCAUGAGCAGUCCCGUGCAGCCCCACCCUCGGCUGGGUUUUGUUCGCAGUGUCCAGAGAGACACUGUAGGUCUCAGGCAGGGCCUGCCAGGUCCCUCUCUUCCUGUCCUGCUCCUCCACCUCCCCAUGCCUGCAGCACAGCCCUCGGAUCUCUCGGGCCUCAGUCAGGGGACCCUGGGGGACAGGGACCCAGAGUCCCAUUCAUCUUGGAGUGAGCCCUAGCAACUGGUUUCCUUGCUGCCAACCAGGUAGCUGGGUCUAUGUGUGUGAGCCAUUGCCUGGACAGCCCCACGUCCCCCUGCAGCUACACCUGGAAGCUCUAACCUGGCCUGUCCUUGAUGCCAUCGGCACAUCCUUGUCCUCACUGUGCCUUCCUGCCUUCCAAGGCCAGAGCCAGGCAUCUGACCUCCCUCCUGCCUGUUACACCAUUAAUGGACUUUGUAACCCCAGAUGCUUCUCUCCCAGAGAGAAAAAUUAAUUUUCACAUUUUGUGAUUUCCUUUGAUAGAAUUGACUCUUCAUAUCACACCCACACACUCACAGUUCAAGAUGGAGCCAGGAAACAGACUGGCCAGAAAGGUUCAGGACUCAAAGCCCCAAAGCCACCUUGCAUCAGCCAGGUGGUGGGGCCCAUAGGUGGGAAUUUGCCCACUUCCUGCUCAGAGGGGAUCAAAUCGCUGCUCUGAAUUAGAGCACAUUUUGCCUUUGCGAGACUUCUGGGCACUGCGUUUCUGCAUGUGAGAUAGAGGUGGCCAGGGCUCUGGGUUGGGGUCGUUCGCCCUCUCAUAUACACCUGCUCCAUGGGCUUCCCACGGGAUCAGGAGAAAACAGGAGCUUGGCAUGUGGUGUGUGCUCGUGGUAGGGACACUAUGGGUCAGUUCCAGAAGUCACAAUAAAGCGAGUCACAUUUUUUGGUUUCCCCGGGCAUAUCAAAGUUAUGCUUAUAUUAUACUCUAGUCUGUGAAGUGUACAAUAGCAUUAUGGCUAAAAAGACAAUGAAAAAUACUUUAUGCCUCAAAAACACUAACCAUCCUCUGAGCCCUCAGCCAGUCAUAAUCUUUUGCAAUAGUAACAUCAGAACUCCUGAUCACCCUAACACCUGUAGUAAUAAUGAAAAGGUUUGCAAUAUGGUGCAAAUUAAAGAUGUGACACAGAGGGAAUUCCCGUUGUGGCACAGUGAAAACGAAUCCAACCAGUAUCCAUGAAGAUGCUUGUUUGAUCCCUGGUCCCACUGGUUAAGGGUCCGGUGUUGCCGUGAGCUGCAGUACGAGUCACAGACAUGGCUUGGAUUUGGUGUUGCUGUGGUGUAGGCUGGCAGCUACAGCUCCAGUUCAACCCCUAGCCUGGGAACUUCUAUAUGCCGUGGAUGCAGCCCUAAAAAGACAAAAAAANAAAAAAAAAAAAAAAAAAAAAAAAAAAAAAAAGUGACACAGAGACAGAAAGUGAGCAAGUGCUGUUGGAAAAAUGGCUCCGAAAGACUUGCCCGGCACAGGGUUGCCACAACCUUCAAUUUGUAAAAAAGGCAACAUCUGCAAAGUGCAAUAAAUUGAGGUUUUGUCUAUGUACACUCGGGCACGCGCGCGCGCGCACACACACACACUCCACAGCAGACAUGUUAAUGCACAGAGUUCUGGAAGCAUACAAGCCAAAGGGUUAGGCAUUGGGUUUGCAGGAGGAGGUAAAGACACCAUGUGAGGUAUCUGUGCAGUACUCACAUAAUUUUAUUUUUGUAUUUUUUAUGGCUGCAUCCACACAUAUGGAAGUUCCCAAGACAGGGACUGAAUCUGAGCUGCAGCUGUGACCUAUGCCACAGCUGUGGCAACUCCAGAUCCUUUAACUCACUGCACUGACCUGUGCCUGGGAAGCGACCUGAGCUGCUGUGGUCAGAGUCUAGGAAGAAUGAUAAAUUUAAAGGCGGGAGCAGCUCUGGUGAAGGGUCCUCCUCUUGCAGGGCCUCCUGCCUGCACUUCCCUUCCUGGAGCCCUCCAGGCUCUCCAGCCUGGCCGUCUCCCUCCAUCCCAGGCACCUUCCUUCUCCCUGACCUGGGCUGACUCAGUGUCCAGUCCUCUCUGCAACUCCAUUCUGAAUCAGGGACGCCUUUCUGCCCUGGCAGCAGUCUCCUCCCAAACCAGUUAACACAGGCAAGAAAAAAGUAAUUCCACAAUUGGUUGCAGUUCUCUGUGAAGGUAUAAAUUAUACAUGACGCUGUGACAUUUGCAGCAGACUGCCACGUUGAUUUGGUUUUUGUCUGUGGUGGUGGUUUUAUCAAUGAGCUUUUCUUCCUGAGCAACUGCAGAUUCUGUUUUGUGCAAAUGAUUGAAGACAUUCUGGAAAUUUCUUUCUUUUUGAAUUAUCCACUCUAUCCAGACAUCCUAAAUCUUUGAGACAAAACAAAUACAGCACACGCCCAUGCUCACACAUGCGCGCACGCGUGCGCGCGCGCACACACACACACACACACUUUGAAUUUCUGUCAGGCCCAGAGAGUCUCAGGGUAAAUGAGCCAAUUUGUUUUCAUUUAAAUAUGAAAGUGAGAGAAGGAAACGCAAUGAAUGAGCACAGGAGAACACAGAGCUGUAAGCUGGAAAAACCCAAAGAUGAAUUUGUCACGUCUCUCAUGAUAAAUGACGGCGAUGCAAUUAAACAGAGGCAGCCCAGCGACCAUGAACACCCCAGUGCAUUGUGUUUUGAUCUGUAGGGCAGGUACCCUCAUGUUUCCUGUCAUAGACUCUAAACAUCACAAGUCUUGGGGGGAGGGGUGCCCUGGUGCCCAGGAUGCUGAGUUAUGCCAGGGGGACAGAAAAGUGGGUCAGUGGGUCACCUGUGCAGACCUGGCCAGGAACGAAGUUUGACUCAUGUGAGCCUAGCACUCCCUGAGUCCAGGCGGCGGAUGGUGGAGCCCCGGAUGGGGGCGGCUGGAAGGGAGACGCCGCAUCCUAGGGGUCAGAGGAGCUCCCAGGAAAACCCAGGUUCAGGUGGUGAUGCCACAGACAUCCGUGGCCCGGAAGACAGGAGAGGGCACGUAUGUUUGGAGCUCAGGACAGUGGAGCAUCCACAUUUGGAGAGCUUGCUGCAUUGCUGGAGACUCUGUGCACACAUUGGAGCUGACUUGUGAGCAAGCAGACAGAUCAAGGCCUUUCAGAACUGCGAGGGCACUUGGGAGUUUAUUGAGCUCAACUUCCUUUCCCAAGCAGGAAUUCCCUCCCCAGGACCCUGGAUGGCGGGUCUGAACAUCCAGUUCCACCCAGAGUCACGAAGUGGGUGCUCAGGUGUACAUGGGUUCCUUCCUGCUGAGGGUUCAAGGUCCAGGUGGAUGGGUGGAUCCUUUGGACCGAGCAGCGCCCCUCCCUCUCCUGCGUCCUGUGCCUGCAGCCCCUGCACAGCCUUCCUGUACAGACACCAUCCUUCUCGGGACAAGUAUGUAUGGGUGACUGCCCUCCUCCAUGGAAACCCAUGACGGGGUUCAAGGCCUGCUUAGACGACACAGAUAUUGGUUCCCCAACCCCAAGUGCCCACCACCUGUUGGUCCUGCUCCUGCCUUCAGAGCCACAUCCUUCCCCUUCCUCUUGAACCUAGAAUCCACGGAGGGCACACCCAGGGUCUCCCGGUCACUCAGCGGCACGGGGGCAUGAGGAAGGGGGUCCCUCUGGGACAUGGAUUCUGGCACCUUCAGCAUCCUGGUCCCCUUCUGCUCUGGCCAUGCCUCCUUGUAAUUUCCCAGGUCUAACCCAUGCGUGGAUGGACUGGCAGGGCCAUUGCCUUCGUGCAGUGAGCACUUGGUCUAACUCCAGGAGCACAGAUUGCUGUUUUUCAAACAAGCCAGGAACAUUUAAAGCUCCGGGGUCAGGUUUGGACUGAAACAAUGUAAGCAGUUUUUGUGAUUUUCCAGGACAGGUUAAGAUGCACCAAGUCCCAGGAGCGGGGCGUCGUGGCCCAGGCAAGGAGGACCUGAGCAUGGACGCCACCAGGUGGCGGUCUCGGGUCCAGGGCCGCAGGAGAACGUGCACCCCCUGUUGGCGAUGGGUCAGGAUGGGACCCGGGCUUGCUUCCUGCAUGGCCCCUGCUCAGAGAAGAGGGCCCCAAGCUUCCUGCUCUGAGCCCAGGAGCUGAAGCCUCUGAGGACCCCCACAGGCCCUGCGCUGAGGUCAGCGACUCCUCAUUUUCUGGCCUACGUGUGUCUUUGGAAGGUGAUCUCAGAGCUCUUGCUGGAGAAUUUGCCUUUUCCUGUGCUCACCCCCUGCUUUUGCUCUUUCCUGGACUGCAAGUGGCAGAGCUUAAGCUGCAGCUUCCUUAUAGCUGUUGCCUCUGCAGUUCCUGCUCAUGGUCCCCAGGGAGCAGUGGGCUUUGGGAAGGCCUUGCCAGCUUCCAGAACACCGACAUCAGGCAGGAGAGCAAGUACCUGGCAUACCUCCUCUCCACUGUUGUUAUUCCUUCUGGGAAAAAAAAAAAAAAAAAAAAAAAAAA